rnacentral:rRNA from 1 species
GGGGAAUUUUCCGCAAUGGGCGAAAGCCUGACGGAGCAAGACCGCGUGGGGGAUGAAGGUUUGUGGAUUGUAAACCCCUUUUGAUUGGGAAGAAUACUGACGGUACCAAUCGAAUAAGCCUCGGCUAACUCCGUGCCAGCAGCCGCGGUAAUACGGAGGAGGCAAGCGUUAUCCGGAAUUAUUGGGCGUAAAGCGUCCGNAGGNGGUCUAGNUAAGUCUGUUGUUAAAGCGCGGNGCUCAACUCCAUUUGAGCAAUGGAAACUACAAGGCUUGAGUGUGGUAGGGGCAGAGGGAAUUCCCGGUGUAGCGGUGAAAUGCGUAGAUAUCGGGAAGAACACCAGUGGCGAAGGCGCUCUGCUGGGCCAUAACUGACGCUCAUGGACGAAAGCCAGGGGAGCGAAAGGGAUUAGAUACCCCU